AGGAAAAGGUGACCCAUCUGUAGCUUUAAUCAAAGGCCAGUGGACUGAAGAGGAAGACAACACUCUUAGAAAGCUGGUGAAGCAUUUUGGAGUGAAGAAAUGGGCUCAAAUUGCUGAAAAAAUGGUAGGGAGGGCCGGUAAACAGUGCCGGGAAAGAUGGCAUAACCAUUUGCGUCCAGAUAUCAAGAAGGACGCAUGGAGUCAGGAGGAAGAAAAACUGUUGGUGGAAGCUCAUAUAGAGGUUGGGAACAGAUGGGCAGAAAUUGGCAAAAGA